GAUGAAGAACGCAGCGAAAUGCGAUAAGUAAUGUGAAUUGCAGAAUUCAGUGAAUCAUCGAAUCUUUGAACGCACAUUGCGCCCCCUGGUAUUCCGGGGGGCAUGCCUGUUCGAGCGUCAUUACAACCCUCAAGCUCUGCUUGGUAUUGGGCCCCGCCAGUUCUGGCGGGCCCUAAAGUCAGUGGCGGUGCCUUCCGGCUCCGAGCGUAGUAAUUCUUCUCGCUCUGGAGACCCGGUUGUGUGCUUGCCGAUCAACCCAAAUUUUUAUCCAGGUUGACCUCGGAUCAGGUAGGGAUACCCGCUGAACUUAAGCAUAUCAAUAAGCGGAGGA
rnacentral:misc_RNA from 1 species